rnacentral:rRNA from 1 species
AUGCACGCUGGCGGCGUGCCUCAUACAUGCAAGUCGCGUGAACAGACGAGGAGCUUGCUCCUCUGACGUUAGCGGCGGACGGGUGAGUAACACGUGGAUAACCUACCUAUAAGACUGGGAUAACUUCGGGAAACCGGAGCUAAUACCGGAUAAUAUAUUGAACCGCAUGGUUCAAUAGUGAAAGACGGUUUUGCUGUCACUUAUAGAUGGAUCCGCGCCGCAUUAGCUAGUUGGUAAGGUAACGGCUUACCAAGGCAACGAUGCGUAGCCGACCUGAGAGGGUGAUCGGCCACACUGGAACUGAGACACGGUCCAGACUCCUACGGGAGGCAGCAGUAGGGAAUCUUCCGCAAUGGGCGAAAGCCUGACGGAGCAACGCCGCGUGAGUGAUGAAGGUCUUCGGAUCGUAAAACUCUGUUAUUAGGGAAGAACAAAUGUGUAAGUAACUAUGCACGUCUUGACGGUACCUAAUCAGAAAGCCACGGCUAACUACGUG